CCUCUGGAAAGGGGGACAGACGGCUCCUCGCCCGACGGCCAACGGGACACGUCAGCCCCCCCGACCAGUGCCGGGAAGAGCUGCGGCGUGGCCGUCCCUCGCUAGGCAGGGCCGCACCUCCUCCGACCUCGCGGGGGCCGGGAAGAAAGCAAGCCACUGAAACAAUGCUAUCUACAUUAACAGGAUCAUGUCAAAGGAAAAAAAAACAAAAACAACUUCAAACAGGAUGUACAAAAGAGAAUUCCCUUUCUCAGGCACUGAAUCAGUGACUUGAGACAAGAGAAAUGGGCAGCCAUUGAAUUGCUAAGAUUAGUAACAGGACCUCCUCAGCUCUCUCUAGGCAAAACAAGAUUUUCAGUGGUUUAAAGAAUGCAGAUCAUGAUCACCGCUAUUCACAUCUGUGUCCAGUUCUGAAAGAAGAAAUAGAGGACACAGUACUCCCAACAGGAGCAUUGUCAACAGUUUAUUAACUCACAGAUGACACUUCUGUUCCUACCUAUCUGUGUAUGCGCUGUUUCCUCAGAAGCAAUAUGUUGUUUAUUUAUGAUACACCUUUAUCUGUAAGCCAAACAUCAUGGACCAUGCCAACUCUUCUCUUUCCUGGUUGUUCAAUUAUUUCUGCUAAAGACUACAACCUUGCAGGUUCCCUAUUGAGGCACUGUUUUUCUAAUUUUUCAACAUGUCUUUGGAUCUUAAUCUGGAUUUCUGAUGUGCUUGUGAUCCCUCAUAGCUUCAUGUCAUUUGGAAAUCCAAGGCAUCUUUUAUCAGAUUGUUGACUGCUAUCAGGCAAGACAGAUCUUUCCAGCUCCACUGAAGACACUGUACGCUGGACUGCAGGAAAAGGAGCGUGUCCAACCGGUCAAGGGAGGUGAUUCUUGCCCUCUACCCUGUUCACGUGAGUCCCCAGCUGCAGUACUGCAUCCAGCUCUGAAGUCCCCAACAGAAGAAGGAGGUGGACAUGUUGCAGCAAGGCCAGAGGAGGGGCAUGAAGAUUGAGCACCUCUCUUAGGAAGACAGGCUGAAGGAGUUGGGUUGUUCAGCUGGAGAAGGUCCCAGGGAGACCUUAGAGCAGCCUUACAGUACCUAAUGGGACUACAGGAAAUCUGGAGUGGGACUUUUUAUGAGGUCAUAUAGGACAAGGGGGAAUGACUUCAAGCUGAAAGAGGGUAGAUUUACACUAGAUAUUAGGAAAAAAAUUCUUCACUGUGGUGGUGCUGAGGCACCGGAACAGGCUGCCUGGAGAAACUGUGGAUGCCCCAUCCCUGGAAGUGUUCAAGGCCGGGUUGGAUGGAGCUCUGAGUAACCUGUUGUAAUGGAAGUUUGGGCAGGGUUGUUGGAACUGAAUGAUCUUUGAGGUCCCUUGCAACCCAAACCCAUGUAUGAUUCUAUGGUUAUUCCUUCCUAACAGUGAGCUAUUGCUAAUUGCUUUUUGACUGCACAUUGGCACUGUUUUCCAUGACAAUGCUCCUCAUACAAGAUUUAAUUCCUAAUGAGAAACAAAUUCUAUGUAGAGUUAGUAGUUGCAGAAAUACUCUUCCAAAGCAAAGGACAAUAAAGCAUUCUUGAGUUAAACUGCACUGGGCUGAACAAUUUCUGGUGUUCUUUUUAGCACAGCCAGAAUGACAAAAGAUUUUCAGCAGUAUUCAUGAAGUUCCUCUGGGAAUAAUUUUGGUCAUCCCACAGCUGUAGAGAAGUCAUUGAAACUGUAUAGCCAUGCUAGUGUUGGACUGUGUUAAUAUUCUUUGCUUCUUAAUGGCAUCUUAGCUUGGAGUCAAGCUAGGAUUCCUUGCUGCCAGCCUGAACUGUCUCAUGAAAUGUUGGAGGGAGGGACGGCAUAAUUGCAUUUAUUCUGUAGGUGCACACUAAGUGUCCUAUGUAAAUAUGGUUUGAGCUUUCUGUAGAGAUUUCCAUCAUGCCUGUAGUAGGUCACUGGAAAACACAAGGCCUGAGCUUUUAUUGAAUUGCAGUGUAUUGUAGACAAACUUGUGUGGUUCCAGCAACAGUCUCUUCUCCAGGCAUAUCUCUUUGAUCAAGUAAUAAUG